rnacentral:rRNA from 1 species
UACAGAGGGUGCAAGCGUUGUUCGGAAUUAUUGGGCGUAAAGCGUGCGUAGGUGGUUUUUUAAGUCCGUUGUGAAAGCCCUGGGCUCAACCUGGGAAUGGCAGUGGAUACUGGAAAGCUAGAGAGCGGUAGAGGGUAGUGGAACUCCCGGUGUAGCAGUGAAAUGCGUAGAGAUCGGGAGGAACACCAGUGGCGAAGGCGGCUACCUGGACCAGCACUGACACUGAGGCACGAAAGCGUGGGGAGCAAACAGG